rnacentral:rRNA from 1 species
GGGAUGACGUCAAAUCAUCAUGCCCCUUAUGAUUUGGGCUACACACGUGCUACAAUGGACAAUACAAAGGGCAGCGAAACCGCGAGGUCAAGCAAAUCCCAUAAAGUUGUUCUCAGUUCGGAUUGUAGUCUGCAACUCGACUACAUGAAGCUGGAAUCGCUAGUAAUCGUAGAUCAGCAUGCUACGGUGAAUACGUUCCCGGGUCUUGUACACACCGCCCGUCACACCACGAGAGUUUGUAACACCCGAAGCCGGUGGAGUAACCAUUUUGGAGCUAGCCGUCGAAGGUGGGACAAAUGAUUGGGGUGAAGUCGUAACAAGGUAGCCGUAUCGGAAGGUGCGGCUGGAUCACCUCCUUUCUAAGGA